AUGUCCCAUCCUCCCACGCUCUCUCUCAAGAGAGCCGUUAUUAUUGUCAGCUUUCUCUCUCUCUAUACCACUAAUCUUUCUCUCUCUCUACACCAACAUCACCCUCUCUUUCUCUCUCUACACCACCACUCUCUCUGUGGUCUCUGCAACUCCAUCAAAUAUACAUAACCUAGAGAGCCAUUUUUCACAAAAGAAGUAGAAUAAGCUCUGAGAAUCAGGGGAAGGAGAAAGAAGGAAACCUUCCAAAAGUGGGAAUGGAAGAGGGCCUCGACAUGGCGAGGUUGUCCCUGAUCGAUGUCUCUUCUGCUGAUGACAGCCUGAUCGAUGGAGAUCUUCCCCUUUUGCCAUGUUCUGAUUUCUCAAAAAAGUGGGAUGAGCCAAACUGCUUUGAAUCACAUGAGGACGUUUGUGAUCGGGAAGCUGAAAAGGUGGCACCCCCGGAGCCCAAUAGAACUAGAAAAGUUAGCAAGUGUAACUUGCGGAAAAGUUUAGCUUGGGAUAGUGCGUUCUUCACAAAUGAAGGUGUGCUGGAUUCUGAGGAGUUAGCUCUUGUGAAUAAAACUUUUAAGAAGGCUGAACCACCAAAGUUACCUGGUAUUCAAGAAGAAACUCAGAGAUCAUUUGACUCAUCUUCUACAUUAGAUGGAGGUGACAUACCAUUUCGAAACCUUGAAGUUGAUACAUGUGACUGUGUCCAAAAGGUAAUCGAGAACGUUGGAGAUGAUGUAAAAAUUCCUGAUACAAAAUGUGGUAACAAUGAAGCAAGACCAAGUUUAAAAGAAUCAUCAAAUUCUGGUUCUUCUACCAAGCGAUCACUAACUCAAGGCAGGAUGAAGCAAGUGCCUGUUUCCAAGAAGUGCUUCACUCCAAAGCAUGGACUGGACCCAACUUCAAAAGGAGUUGUCAUUCAAUUAGUAGAGGCUACAAGACAUGGGGAGUCUAAGUCAUCUCUAAAGCCUCCAAAGUUUUCUUCCCAGAUAAGUAAACCUGCUUCAAUAGCAAUGACCAAAAAACUCUCUGCAAAUUCUAGAAUUGCUAAAACUACUCCUGUAAAGGGUUUGCCGGAUAGAAUGGGAUACCUGCAACCUGCUGCAGUCUCACAGAAGCAUAUCUCUACUGAUUCAUGUAGUGUUAGGUCUACUCCUUCUCCAAAAUCUUCUUCUUCUGGAUCUCCAUGUUCUUAUAAACAGCUUUCUUCACUUUCCUCCAUUUCACUUGAAAGGUCUGGUAGUGCCUCUUCUGACUCAAUUGCUAAAUCACCCCUGAGGAUCGUGAGAAAUAAAUUUGAGUCUAGAACUACGAGUUUAUCAUCCUAUCUCAUGUCCAAUUCCCAGUCAUCUUUGAGCAUAUCUCCUGCAAGCUCCGUUGAUGCCAUAUCAGAGACUUCCUCAACUUCCACCAAUCAUGGGUCUCAUUAUUCAAAACCAUGCAACGAUAUUGAUAGCCUUCCCUUACAUAAUCAGAUAAUGCCAUGUGCUGAUAUUCAGAACGAGACAGCAUUAUGUCCAUGUGAGGAGCAGACCGUUGUUCCUGAAAAUGUCAGGAACGGUUUGUUUUGUGUAAGUGUUGAAAAGCAAAGCAAUAGAUCAUCUGUUUCCUCAGCAGUGGUACAUGGUUCCAACAAGGGUGGAAUCCAGAAGGGCGGUCAUUGCAUUAAGCCAACGGGUCUUCGGAUGCCAUCACCAAAAAUUGGGUUUUUUGAUGCGGCCAACAUUCCUCCUGGGCAUUCUGUUUCUACAUCAGAGGAAAAAUCUAGGGUCCAUUCUACAAUUGGAGGCCAGCAAUCACAACCUGGCAUGCAAACUUCCGUGCCCAGAAAUGCUACUGGUCUUGGUAUUUCUGAUGUGGUCAAGGUUAAGGUGAACAAGAUUCAAUCUACCAGAGCAGCAGCACAGUCUCAAAAUGUUUUUUCAGGCUCUCAUCACUCUGGGCCAUCACACGCCUCUUCCAGUUCUACUUCAAGACCUGCUGCCCCUGCACGACUGGCACAACGGAUACCAAAGCAAAAUCCUAGAGCAUCUGAUGCACCUAAAAUUUCAGAAAAGAGACUCAGCAUGUCUUUAAAAGCUUGGAAGGGAUCCUCUGCUAGAAACAACAAGGAUGGAAACUUUGAAAAUACUCAAAAUGUAACAAUAAAGCCAGCUGAGUCAUUUGAUAGAGCUUCAUCUUCAGAUUUGAGUGAAGAAAAGAAUCAACAAGAGGACUGCAGGGGUGAUUGCAGUGCAGAGAAUCAGGUAUCCAGUAUGUCUAAUCUAAAUGUUCCUGAAGAAAACAGUCCUCUGGGUUGCAGUGAAGCAAAAUACGGUUUUGAUCUCGGAAAGAUAUCAUCAUAUGACACAUCAAGUAUUGUUUCAUCUGAAGAAUCCUUAGCUCAGAAUAUGGAUUUUUCUCUUCCCAGAAACAGGAAAAAUGGUGAUUAUUUAUUAAGCCCACAGUACAAUGCAGUUGUUUCUUUGGAUACUGAAAGUAAAGAUCAUGGUGAGAUUUUCGGUAGAAAUGGAAAUUGUAUUGAUCUUAAACCAGAUUUCCGUUAUGUGCUUUCUCUUCCUGUUCUUGAGGUAAAUGAACUGGAUAAGUCUGAUACUUCCAGGUCAUCAUCCUCUUAUUUAUCAGAACCCUCUAGCUUUAAUCAUAAGUUAGACGCUCUACAAAGUUCAUCCGAACUUAAUUCUUUGCCUGUUCGUUCAGAGUUUAUGUCCUCUGGGAAAAGUCCUUUAGCUAUUAAUUAUUCUUUGUGCAAAUGGAGUGAAAAUUAUGAGCAGAACAUUGAACUGCACAGUGAAAAGUCUUUGGAGAAGAAAUCUGCAUAUUCUUUACGAGAGAAAGCUUCAUCUCUCAUUGCAUCAGGAACCUAUCCUCCAGAUACAGUUGAAAAAAUCGGACAAGAAAAUAUUAUUUUGAAAGUCUUUAAUGAGGAUGACGUGCACGAAAGAGUAAUUGUUCCCAAGGAUAUUUCUUGUGGUGCUUCUCCAAUUGUCAGCAGCUGAUUUCAUUUCAUCAAGGUGACGACACUUUGUAGCAUUUUAUAGACCUGGAAUUCAAGACCCCAGUUACUUUUGUUCAAGGAAAUUCAAGAAUUCUUACUUAGAUUGUUUUAUGUGAUUAUCAGUCUAGAUACAGAUAACAAUAAUGAUAGCAAAAGCAUUCUGUAAUGGCAAACUUCGAAGUUUCUUGUCAACUAUCUGUCAGGAAUAAGGUUUUCCUGUACAAAAUUAUGAAUCUCAUUUGCGUCACAUACGAAGGCUAUGCACAAUGCAGGUGAGUGCAUAAGCAUAAAAGGUUCAAACAAGUUUUUAUGUACAGCGAGGAAAGGCUUAUGGGUGCUUUACUUUAGGGGCAUGUUUUCUCUCUUAUGGGCAUGAAUCAAGGGAUAGAAAUAAGAUCCAAGUAUCAGAGUUAGCCACCGAGGGCUACAAAAUUCAUAGAAACAGAAGCACUUUGGAGCCAAGAUUAGUCAACUGCCGAAGUAGAUUAUCAUAAUGGUACAUCUUAAGAAUAGUUUGUGUUUUCUCGUGGAGAUACAGGGAAAGAGGUUUAUGCCGAAUGUGAAUUCUUAAGUGGGUACCAUGAUUUAAAUGAAUGUGUUGGUGUAUGCCGGAAUAAUAUUGCAUCA